rnacentral:rRNA from 1 species
GCGUGCGGGAAGAAGGCCUUCGGGUUGUAAACCGCUUUUGUCAGGGAAGAAACGCCUUGAGCUAACACCUCGAGGUAAUGACGGUACCUGAAGAAUAAGCACCGGCUAACUACGUGCCAGCAGCCGCGGUAAUACGUAGGGUGCAAGCGUUAAUCGGAAUUACUGGGCGUAAAGCGUGCGCAGGCGGUUGUGCAAGACAGAUGUGAAAUCCCCGGGCUUAACCUGGGAACUGCAUUUGUGACUGCACGGCUUGAGUGCGGCAGAGGGGGAUGGAAUUCCGCGUGUAGCAGUGAAAUGCGU